UACGUAGGUGACCAGCGUUGUCCGGAUUUACUGGGCGUAAAGAGCGCGCAGGCGGUCGUUCAAGUCGAGUGUGAAAGCCCCCGGCUCAACUGGGGAGGGUCAUUCGAUACUGAUCGACUUGAAGGCAGGAGAGGGAAGCGGAAUUCCCGGUGUAGUGGUGAAAUGCGUAGAUAUCUGGAGGAAUACCGGUGGCGAAGGCGGCAUCCUGGACCGACAUUGACGCUGAUGAGCGAAAGCUAGGGGAGCAAACGGGG
rnacentral:rRNA from 1 species